rnacentral:rRNA from 1 species
UGCGUAGGCGGUCCGGUAAGUUGGGUGUGAAAGCCCUCGGCUCAACCGAGGAAUUGCGCCCAAAACUGUCGGGCUGGAGGGAGACAUAGGUGAGCGGAACUUAGGGUGGAGCGGUGAAAUGCGUUGAGAUCCUAAGGAACACCAGUAGCGAAAGCGGCUCACUGGGUCUCUUCUGACGCUGAAGCACGAAAGCUAGGGGAGCGAAGAGGAUUAGAUACCCUCGUAGUCCUAGCCGUAAACCAUGAGCACCGGUUUGGAGGCUCCUCCAUAGGCUUCCAGACGUAGCGAAAGUGUUAAGUGCUCCGCCUGGGGAGUAUGGUCGCAAGGCUGAA